ACGGGAGGCAGCAGUAGGGAAUAUUGGUCAAUGGAUGCAAGUCUGAACCAGCCAUGCCGCGUGCAGGAAGAAGGCCUUCUGGGUUGUAAACUGCUUUUGCCAGGGGAUAAAAAGUCCAUGCGUGGACAAUUGAAGGUACCUGGUGAAUAAGCCACGGCUAACUACGUGCCAGCAGCCGCGGUAAUACGUAGGUGGCAAGCGUUGUCCGGAUUUAUUGGGUUUAAAGGGUGCGUAGGCGGCCUAUUAAGUCAGUUCUGAAAUAUCCCGGCUUAACCGGGAGGGUGGGAUUGAUACUGAUGGGCUUGAGUGGAGUCGAGGUAGGCGGAAUUGACGGUGUAGCGGUGAAAUGCUUAGAUAUCGUCAAGAACACCGAUAGUGUAGACAGCUUACUAGACUUCAACUGACGCUGAGGCACGAAAGUGUGGGGAUCAAACAGGAUUAGAUACCCUGGUA
rnacentral:rRNA from 1 species